AUUGAACGCUGGCGGCAUGCUUUACACAUGCAAGUCGAACGGCAGCGCGGGCUUCGGCCUGGCGGCGAGUGGCGAACGGGUGAGUAAUACAUCGGAACGUGCCCAGUAGUGGGGGAUAGCUCGGCGAAAGCCGGAUUAAUACCGCAUACGACCUGAGGGUGAAAGCGGGGGAUCUUCGGACCUCGCGCUAUUGGAGCGGCCGAUGGCAGAUUAGCUAGUUGGUGGGGUAAAGGCCUACCAAGGCGACGAUCUGUAGCUGGUCUGAGAGGACGACCAGCCACACUGGGACUGAGACACGGCCCAGACUCCUACGGGAGGCAGCAGUGGGGAAUUUUGGACAAUGGGCGAAAGCCUGAUCCAGCACUGCCGCGUGUGUGAUGAAGGCCUUCGGGUUGUAAAGCACUUUUGGCGGGAACGAAAAGGACUGUGCCCAUACCACGGUUCGAUGACGGUACCCGCAGAAUAAGCACCGGCUAACUACGUG
rnacentral:rRNA from 1 species